UAGAAGGCUGCUUCGUUUCUCGCCAGCGUGUGCUCAGAUGGCGACGAGGGCUAGCGGCGGCGGGGGACGCCUCAGGACCCCCGGCACCUGCGCUCGCUGCCCGCGGGAAGAGGGUCCGCGUGGACCCAGCCCCCGCGUCCCUUCUCUGGCGUCCCCGGCUUCCGCGCGGGCGUCCAGAGAAGCGGGCGCCCUGGGAACAGCGACCCAGGCAUCUCCCCGAGGAGGGAAGUGGGAGGUGGGGAGGGCGGGGGGAUUUCAGAGAUUGAAAACAGAGCAGCCCUUGCCCCUCAGCUCCGGAGCUCAUCUGACUUGAGUUAGCGACACCCCCAACCCCCCCCCGGGAAAGGUUAUGUGAGUGCCUGGAGUCCAGCAGGAGUUGAGCUGGU
rnacentral:lncRNA from 1 species